rnacentral:rRNA from 1 species
UAACACAUGCAAGUCGAGCGGAUGAGAAGAGCUUGCUCUUCGAUUCAGCGGCGGACGGGUGAGUAAUGCCUAGGAAUCUGCCUGAUAGUGGGGGACAACGUUUCGAAAGGAACGCUAAUACCGCAUACGUCCUACGGGAGAAAGCAGGGGACCUUCGGGCCUUGCGCUAUCAGAUGAGCCUAGGUCGGAUUAGCUAGUUGGUGGGGUAAUGGCUCACCAAGGCGACGAUCCGUAACUGGUCUGAGAGGAUGAUCAGCCACACUGGGACUGAGACACGGCCCAGACUCCUACGGGAGGCAGCAGUGGGGAAUAUUGGACAAUGGGCGCAAGCCUGAUCCAGCCAUGCCGCGUGAGUGAUGAAGGCCUUAGGGUUGUAAAGCUCUUUCGCCAACGAAGAUAAUGACGGUAGUCGGAGAAG